CUGGCUUCCCUGUGAGCCCCCAGGACCUGCCUGUCUCCAUCCCUUCUAUAGACUGUGGCCAGCUUUUACAUGGAGUGCUGAGGGAUCCGAACACAGAUCCUUUUACUUGUGCGGCAAGGAGUUUAUCCACAGAGCCACCUCUCCAGCUCCUGUUUCACGGUUUUUGUUUGUUUGUUUUUUUUAAAGAUUUAUUUAUUUUAUGCAUGUGAGUACACUGUAGCUGUCGUCAGACACAUCAGAAGAGGGCAUCGGAUCCCAUUAUAGAUGGUUGUGAGCCACCAUGUGGUUGCUGGGAACUGAACUCAGGACCUAUGGAAGAAUUGUCAGUGCUCUUAAACCACUAAGCCAUCUCUCCAUUUGAGUUUUUAUGAAGCUUUAUUUUUUACUUGAGAGAGAGAGAGAGAGAGAGAGAGAGAGAGAGAGAGAGAGAGAGAGAGAGACACUGACUCUGUCUCUGAACUGGCCUAGAAUUUAUUACGUAAUCUAGCCUGGUUUCAAAUUCAUGGUUAUGCUCCUGCCUCACAUCUGUGAUUACUCAGGUAACAGGUACAACACUCCCAGCCGAGAGUCCUGUUUGCUGACCUUUUUGAGAUGCUCACAGACUCUGGUGGCAGCGUUUCCACCGUGCUGCAGGAGCCUCCCCCUGGCCCUCAGUACCUUUCUACCCUCUGUGACCAUCCUCUUGGAUGCUCCAGCUUUGUUUGCCUGUUUAUUCAGGCAAUGUCGAGAAUCCCUUCGAGGAGCUCCGUCCCAGUCUGACUUGCAUCAGAACUUGGCACUUUGGUGCCCGCUUCGUACUAAGUUAGAGCAACGCUGUAUUUUUUUAAGAGAAGGGAAUUUUGUUACCCUUGUACACAUUGAAAAGAUCUAUAGAUGCAAUUAGUCAGAAGCACGUGUCGUUUAGCCACUGAGCAGUACCACAAAAUGGCUGUGACCUUGAACGGACAAAGAACUCAGGAAGUGACAGUUCUGGGUGAUGAUAAGACAGCACAACCUGGUCUUGGACUAAAAAUGCAGUUUUGAUCAAGAAGAAGGAAGACUAAAGUGUGGAUACUUCAGUCCUUCUUAGAAUGGGGAACAAAAUACCCAUGGAAGGAGUUACAGAGACAAAGUUCGGAGCUAAGGCGGAAGGAAGGACAAUCCAGAGACUGCCCCACCUGGGGAUCCAUCCCAUAUACAACCACCAAGCCCAGACACUAUUGCAUAUGCCAGAAAGACUUUGCUGACAGGACCCUGAUAUAGCUCUCUCUUGUGAGGCUAUGCCAGUGCCUGGCAAAUACAGAAGUGGAUGAUCAUAGUCAUCUCUUGGAUGGAACACAGGGCCCCCAACGGAGGAGCUAGAGAAAGUACCCAAGGAGCUGAAGGGUUCUGCAACCCUAUAGGUGGAACAACAAUAUGAACUAACCAGUACACCCAGAGCUUGUGUCUCUAGCUGCACGUGUAGCAGAAGAUGGCCUAGUUGGCCAUCAAUGGGAAGAGAGGUCCCUUGGUCUUCCAAAUUUUAUAUGCCCCAGUACAGGGGAAUGCCAGGGCCAAGAAGUGGAAGUGGGUAGGUAGGGGAGCA
rnacentral:lncRNA from 1 species